CAGCCGCCGCGGGAAUACAGAGGUCCCGAGCGUUGUUCGGAUUCACUGGGCGUAAAGGGUGUGUAGGAGGUUUGGUAAGUCAGGUGUGAAAUCCCGCAGCUUAACUGCGGAACUGCAUUCGAUACUGCUGAACUAGAGGCUUGGAGGGGGAAGCGGAAUUCUUGGUGUAGCGGUGAAAUGCGUAGAUAUCAAGAGGAACACCGGUGGCGAAGGCGGCUUCCUGGACAAGUCCUGACUCUGAAACACGAAAGCUAGGGGAGCGAAUGGGAUUAGAUACCCGGGUAGUCCCUGUCUCUUAUAC
rnacentral:rRNA from 1 species